AGAUGUGAUCUUUCUGGCAUCUCCAAAGACUGGAACAUUAAAUAUUAUGUGCCAAGCAUCUGGACAAGAUCUGGUCAUUUUCUUGGUGCGUGAAAGCUCCAUUGCUGAUUCCUCAUGUUGGUGUUGAUGUCACUCAGCUGUUACCACUGUGGAAAGCAAAGCAAGGUUCAACACUACUGGGAAUGCAUGCAGAUACGAGGACAUUCAACCCUGAAACAACAAUGCAGUAACUCACAGAUGAUCUCCUUUGCCUGAAUAUUUAUUGGUUCCACCUGUGCUGUAUUAACCAAUGUGUUUAUAUACCUGUCUUUUUCAUUUCCUAUUUGCAUGGUAUUGUCUUAUCAAUGUGUAAGUAUACUAAGCGGUUUCUUUAUUCUGUAAAUUUUCUGGUUAUGACCCUGUUUAAAUUUUAAAUUAUGCCUUAUUGGAUUUUCCCUUCUGUAUUUUUGUUUUCUCAUAGCCUGCUUGGUUCUGGACUUUGCCUGUUUGACUUUCCCUGAAAAAACUGUUUCUAUAAUUUCCUUUGCUCUGGUUCUGGUUCUGGUUCUGACUCUUACCUGUUUAUCAUUUAUGUAUCUGGGCUGCCCU